CAUGGAGGAGAAAGACAGAGACCACCGUCACCACUGUCAUCGCGACUCUCCGACUCCGAUGAAAAAAGCCUACUACAUCUCCAGAAACGGCCGUUUGGAACAACCCCAUUUCCUCGAAAUCCCUCUCUUCCCCGACCACCCUCUUCGUCUUAAAGAUGUUUCGGAUUGGCUGGCUGUUCUCAGAGGCAACCCCAUGCCCUUCCUCUAUCCUUGGUCCUAAAAGGUAGAGGACGAGGCAAGGGCAAAGGCAAGCUGGCGAGCGACCCGAAGUGACCGUGGCGAGCCUUAGGGACUUUUGUUUCCGCUUAUUCUUGUUUUGACUUUGGUACCUGAGUUUGAGUAUUUUUCACUAUUUACCAUUUUUUUUAAAGUAGAUAGGGCCCGAGUAGGACUUUAGAACGAAAUUUCAUCUUUGCAUAUUAU